AUUGAACGCUGGCGGCAUGCCUUACACAUGCAAGUCGAACGGUAACAGGUCUUCGGAUGCUGACGAGUGGCGAACGGGUGAGUAAUACAUCGGAACGUGCCUAGUAGUGGGGGAUAACUACUCGAAAGAGUGGCUAAUACCGCAUGAGAUCUACGGAUGAAAGCAGGGGAUCGCAAGACCUUGUGCUACUAGAGCGGCCGAUGGCAGAUUAGGUAGUUGGUGGGAUAAAAGCUUACCAAGCCGACGAUCUGUAGCUGGUCUGAGAGGACGAUCAGCCACACUGGGACUGAGAACCGGCCCAGACUCCUACGGGAGGCAGCAGUGGGGAAUUUUGGACAAUGGGCGCAAGCCUGCUCCAGCAAUGCCGCGUGCAGGAUGAAGGCCUUCGGGUUGUAAACUGCUUUUGUACGGAACGAAAAGCCCCGGGUUAAUACCCUGGGGUCAUGACGGUACCGUAAGAAUAAGCACCGGCUAACUACGUGCCAGCCGCCGCCGUAA
rnacentral:rRNA from 1 species